rnacentral:rRNA from 1 species
UACGUAGGUGGCGAGCGUUGUCCGGAUUUACUGGGCGUAAAGGAUGCGUAGGUGGAAACUUAAGUGAGAUGUGAAAUCCGCGGGCUCAACCCGUGAACUGCAUUUCAAACUGGGUUACUAGAGUGCAGGAGAGGAAAGCGGAAUUCCUAGUGUAGCGGUGAAAUGCGUAGAUAUUAGGAAGAACACCGGUGGCGAAGGCGGCUUUCUGGACUGUAACUGACACUGAGGCAUGAAAGCGUGGGGAGCAAACAGG